rnacentral:pre_miRNA from 1 species
UCUUAAGGAUAAGCAAAGAAAGUAGUUUUCUGAGAUCAAACCUACUCCUGGUGAAGAUGCUAUGAA